UGCCAGCCGCCGCGGUAAUACGAAGGUGGCGAGCGUUGUUCGGAUUUACUGGGCGUAAAGGGCGCGUAGGCGGUUAGGCAAGUCGAAGGUGAAAUCCCUCGGCUCAACCGAGGAAUUGCCUCCGAUACUGUCUGACUUGAGUCCCGGAGAGGGUAGCGGAAUUCCCAGUGUAGCGGUGAAAUGCGUAGAUAUUGGGAGGAACACCAGUGGCGAAGGCGGCUACCUGGACGGGUACUGACGCUGAGGCGCGAAAGCGUGGGGAGCAAACAGGAUUAGAUA
rnacentral:rRNA from 1 species